rnacentral:misc_RNA from 1 species
UAAGCUAACAAGCAUUGAUAACCAUGGAGGGAGGCGUCCACCUAUUUGAUUGUACUCCAUUGCUAGCCAUUCAAUUGGUGUAGAUAUAUUAUUGGCCACAAAAUUUGGCAACACUCCUUGAAACUGAUUGCUAGCUAUCUCAACCAAUUUCAAAUUGCUACAAUUCAGCAAAGAAAUGAUAAAAUCCAAACUGUUAUCGCCUCUGCUUCCAAGAUGAUUACCGUGCAAAUUUAAUUCAACAAGUCUUUGCAGUCCUCCAAAAUCAACAUCUAAUUUUCCAGUGAAAUUAUUAUCUAGUAAAGCAAUGUAUAACAGUUCUGAGGCAUUUGAUAAUGACACUGGAAUGGAUCCAGUAAAGUGGUUUCCCCACAUUUGCAACUUCUGCAAAUGAGGCAGGAGGAGGCCUAUAUUUGGUGGAAGACUUCCAUGAAGCGAAUUAUUAGCCACACUCAAGAGGAUGAUGGAGGAAAUAUUAUAAAUGGCUGGAGGGAUGAUACCUGAGAGAUUAUUGCUACCAAGUGCAAUAGCUGACAAGUACUUGAGUUGGCCCAAGGAAUCUGGGAUACUUCCACCAAAGAAAUUGCCACCGGCAGACAAAACUUCUAGUAAGCUAAAAUUUCCCAGAAAUGGAGGUAUGCCAUUGCUCAUAUAAUUAAAAUGAAUUAAAAUUUUUCUGAGCUUAGACAGAGUGGCAAGCUCCACUGGGAUAUUUCCAACCAGCUUGUUGUAAGCU